CAAAAGUGAAGCCAAAACGUCUCGAUCGCCCCCCAGUGACCGGUCCUAGUAUAGGUCAUAAGCCCCGCCUUCCUAUGUUAUUCAACAGGACGUGAGACCAACUAAACAAUUAAAUUACACUUCACAUAUCCUUUUUCCAAAGAUAGUUUCUGUAAUUUACUGUAGUUUCUAUCACGUUGAUGUAAUUUCAAUUAGUUAUUUGAUGCUAUAAAAACGGUGCUGUGACAUCAUGAUUGACAGCUGUGAUUGACAGGUUCUCUGUGCGAAGUAGUCACUGAAGCACCAACGGACUUUUUUUCAUAAUGUUUACUAUGUGGUUUAGUUGUAUUUACCUUAUUUUAACGAGGUACUGCAAUCAGCAGACAUCAUUGGAGAGAAACGGAGCAGACAGAGGCCACUUAAGAAAAGUGCAGGGCGUGUGCUUGCGAUUGACUCAGCGAGAGUGAGGGCGGGGCCUUGAUUUCGCGGCUUUACUUCCUGCUCACGACUGCGCAUGUCUGGUCCCGAAAACGCAAGUGCGCAGACUCAAGUCCCAAGAUGUCAGCGCCAUAUCGGGACCUAUGAUCGGGACAGGGGACACUCCACUGUCUAUGGGGACACUGGCGGCUUCAGUUCUCUCCGAUGGAAAA